rnacentral:rRNA from 1 species
GCCAUUAGUGGAUGCCUUGGAAGUAUUGACCGAAGAAGGACGCUUCAUGGUUCGCGAAACUCGUCGGGGAGUGACCAAUGACACUUUGAUCCGGCGGUGUCCGAAUGGGGAGACCCGUUCCGAUGCAAAAUCGGAAUAACCUCGUCACGAAAAUGUUCCGCCGUAAGGCGGGAUGUAUUAGUGGCAGGUGGGGUACCCGGUGAACUGAAACAUCUAAGUAACCGGUGGAAAAGAAAUCACAGAGAUUCCCUUAGUAGCGGCGAGCGAAAAGGGAAAAGCUCAAACCGCUUAUGCAUAGCAUAAGCUAGUUUAUAAAGUAGAAAGUUUUUAAGGUUUGUAAGGUAAUUCUUUAUGAACUUUAUAACUUUACGAACUUUAAACUGGCUCGUGCUGUGCACGAGCGGUGUUGUAGGACGGCUGGCUUAAAUGCAAAAGGUUACAAGAGUUAGGUAGUAGAAGGCGCCGGAAUUGCGCCGCCAAAGAGGGUGAUAGCCCUGUAAACGAAACCUAAUUCUACCUUCGCCUGUUCCUGAGUACCAUGGGGCACGAUUAAACCCUGUGGGAAGCUGGGGCGACCAAGCUCCAAAGCUAAAUAUCAAUACUUACCGAUAGUGAACUAGUACCGCGAGGGAAAGGUGAAAAGCACCCCGGGAGGGGGAUGAAAGAGUACCUGAAACUAAUGGCUAACAAGCAGUCAAAGGGCUUUGCCCUUUGAACAGUUGACAGUUGACCAAUUGACCAAUUAACGAUCAAAAGUUGUUAAUUUGUUAAUUUUGUUAAUUUGUUAAGUGUUCAGAAGGCAGAGCCUAAUGACGUGCCUAUUGAAGAAUGAGCCAGUGAGUUUUUGUUGUCUUCUAGUCUAACCAAGCUCAGCUUGGGGAGGCGCAGUGAAAGCGAGCCCUAAUCGGGCGAAAUUAGAAGCCAACAGGAGACCCGAAACCGGGUGAGCUAACCAUGAGCAGGGUGAAUGCCGACGAGAGUCGGCAGGAGGCCCGAACUCGUGACAGUAGCAAUUGUCUGAGAUGACUUGUGGUUAGGGGUAAUAUACCAAACGAACUCGGAGAUAGCUGGUUCUCCCUGAAAUAUAUUUAGGUAUAGCCUUAAUAAUUACGCAUUGGGGGUAGAGCACUGAAUGGUCUCUGG